ensembl:lncRNA
UGCAAAGUACUUGUGGGUUUCCUGUCUGCUUGUCCGCAAACUGCCUCCUUAUUUCAUUAGUAUUUAAUGCAACACUUGUUGCUUGUUCUCAGUUACACAUGAAUGGGUAAAAUGGCAUCUUUCACAGUAUUUCUGCCAUCCUUUUACUUGUUUUGGAUCAUCACUCCUUACUUCCUGUUUGCAUUCACUCAUGUCCAUGGACUCCCGAAACCUGAGCUGUUUGUAUCCUCCUCAGUAAUUUUGCCGACAACCACAGUCCAUCUGAGUUGUGUAGUCCCUCAGGAUCCAGUAGAUCAGUGUAUUUUCAUGGUGGGAAAGACAUACACCACCUCUACAUCAUCAUGCGAGCUGACCCUCACAGGAGAACAAAUUAUAGUCCGGGGACAUGUAAACCCACCUUCAGUGCUUCCAGUGAAAUGUUUCUACACUGUAAAAGGGUCUGGUGUUAAUCGUCCCUCUGAUCACUCUUCUCCUGUUUCGGUGCUUGUGCUGGAUAAUUUGCAGAAACCCAAGGUAAGCGUGCAUCAUGACCGAACAAAUAAGCUGUUCGACAUUGUUUGUGAAAUACCCAAGCAGUCCUGGAAUGUCACUGGAUGCCAGUUUUAUACUGGACAUGGGGAGAACUUGUACCCGACAGCUAAAAUAGCAUCUGGAAACUGCCAUUUGUAUUCUGUGGACGAGGAUGAUUUAUUCAGACGUCUGCAGUCAGUGGGGAGCGGAGAGGUGAGCUGUGAUUAUAUAGUGAACACAGAACCUUCAUCUCUCUCUCCACGCAGUGACCCUUACACCAUUCAAGGAUACCAGCCCCCGACCAAAAAUACUCCUUUAAGACCAUCAGAAGCAGUGUCAUGGGGAACAGUGUUGAUCUUGGCGGUGACUAGCCUGUGCAUUGGCCUGGCUGGCGUGUCAGCAAUCUGUCUCAUCUGGACAUGUCGUAUGUGAUAAUCAUGACAUUUCAUUCAUAGAAUAGCUCUAGGAAAACACAUUCAUGCUGAAGGUAACACAUUUGCAACUUUCCUAGGUGUGUUUUAUAGACAACUGGUUUUGUUACCAUCUUAAAAUUCAUUUGAUGCGUUGUGGUCAUAUGAAGGACCGAUAAAGACUCCUGUCAUUCCCACUAUUCGCCCAGGCUAUACACUGUGUAGUUUGGUGGUCUGGGACAGACACGGAUUGACAUUGCCAAUUAUAUCUCCAAAGGUCACCAGCUGGCACAUUAGCAAGCUUUUAUCAGUGUCAGAUGUGCUGUUGUUAGUGUUUACAAGGUUUUUGCAUGCAGCCUAAUUUAUUUUAUAUAUCUGAAAGAUGCAGCCUUAUUUACUCUCUGAUAGGCACAUCUUAUUUUCUCUUUCAGGGAAACAUAAACAUCAGAGGUGAGAUCCUAUGUGUUUCAUUCUUUCAAAAAACACGUUCAUCGUUUUAAAGGACCAUAAGCAGCAACUGACUUCCUGUGUAUCUUACAAACAGUUCAAAGGGUACUCUAGGCAGGACCAGACAGAGUAAGAUCCUAUAUGUCUUCACACUCACCAUAUGUGUAGCCUAUGUACUGGGAGGAACAUGCUAAUUUACAGACUAUUUUAUUUGUGUUUGUGUUUCAGAGAAUCACCCAGACAUUAUGCCUGCACAUAAUACAGUUAGAACUGUUAAUGACACUGCUGGAACAUUCUCCAUGACCACCUCCACCUCCCUGACUGUAGCUCCAGAGGUUGACAAAAGGGAAGACAUUUUCUCUGAACAGGAUGAUGCAAACCAGUAUCAUGUCUACAACUCUAUAUCUGACCCACCAAGUAUCUCCAACCAGGGGGACCCCACAUACAGUACAGCUUGGUGCAGGACCACAGGAGCCCUGUUGUCACACAGCAGGACAUGACCUACAACCUUCUGCAGGUGCACUGAUACAGCUGCACAUACCGCAUAUAGCAUUUAUUAUGCUUUAAAAGGCUAAUCUUGUGUUUUGGAAUGCCUGCAUAUAGAGAAAAUAGCUACAAUGACUAUGGUCUAUUGAGGGUUUGAUUGACAUCUUAUCCAGUGAAAUUUCUGUUGUAUUUGAGCUAGAAUCUAAAGAUUUCAGGAGGCUAGUUUGCAGUAUAUAGGCAGAUUUACUAAUGGUAAAUACAUUGUUAAAUAAGCCACGCCCACAUAUGCAUGUCCCAAAAUUGCCCGGAAUUACUGCCUCUCUGAGUACAUCUGCCACUUAGUCAAAUAUUUUCAUCAGUAGGCUAGUUAUUAUUGUUAGAGUUUUAGAUAACAAAUGUAAACUUUUAAAUGUAUUAUUUAUUUAUCAUUAUAUAUAUUGUUGUUAGAUACUGUUGCUUGGUUCUCUGUAUGUGUAAAAUGAUUUAUUAACAAUUUAAAAUUCAUAUUACCGUAUUUAAAAAAUGGUGAAUAAAAUGGUUAUUUUACGUGGUACUGUAAGUGGUCCGCCUCAGUCUGAAUGAACAAAAGCCUGGUAGUAUAAGUGCAUUCACUGACAUUUGUAGAACUGUUCUAGAAUAUUUAACCCAGUGGACUUUCACUCUCAAGAUUAUUCCACAAAGUAAAUAGAUUUGUUUCAAAGAUAUUAAUUUGAAACCUUUUGCUAACAAUUUUAUAUCACCAAGGUUUUUUGUUUCUCUGAAAAACAUUUCUUAAAUAAAGGAAUUUGUA